UGUUGCCGGAAAACUGUAGCCUAAGCUACCUCCAGUGACACAACCUCCAUCUGCUUGUACAUGCAGAUCGGCUUACAUUCGAUUUUAUUUUGAUUGUUCAGGUUCACCAUCAGCAAUCGUUUUGGUAGUUUUGCUUUAAACAAUCAGUGUUUGUGGUCAUUUUAAGAUAUACAGGGUACAGAUGAUACAGAUAUUUAUUCCAGUAAGUUGUGACAUAAGGAAUGGAUACAAUAUCCCUUUGAAAUAAAGCACGUACAGACCUGUUGUCCUGAUGGAGCAAGGAGAAUCCCAUUGUUCCUAUUGGAGAGUCAACUGGAUUAAGGAGGGUAGGUCAAGAAGCUCCCUGACACCACUGCCACCGCCAGGCAGUCACCGAUGAAGGGGCUCAUGGGGAGAUACGAUACAGAAAAGCACCCUGGGAAAAAAAAGAAGAUCCAAAUCAAAAAAAGAACUCUCAGCAGUUUGGGAGAAACUUUGGGGAAAGAAAAGAGAAUGGAGAUUGUCAUAUGACCCGGAGGGGUGUACGGCGGUAGCUCUGAAUCUAAUA